rnacentral:rRNA from 1 species
GUAACGGACUCGGCGGGCGACUAGCUUACCUACACUAGCAAGUACGACGGACGAGGCACGGGAGCAAUCCUGGUGGCGAGUGGCGAACGGGUGAGUAAUAUAUCGGAACGUGCCCAGUCGUGGGGGAUAACGUAGCGAAAGCUACGCUAAUACCGCAUACGAUCUACGGAUGAAAGCGGGGGAUCGCAAGACCUCGCGCGAUUGGAGCGGCCGAUAUCAGAUUAGCUAGUUGGUGGGGUAAAAGCUCACCAAGGCGACGAUCUGUAGCUGGUCUGAGAGGACGACCAGCCACACUGGAACUGAGACACGGUCCAGACUCCUACGGGAGGCAGCAGUGGGGAAUUUUGGACAAUGGGCGCAAGCCUGAUCCAGCAAUGCCGCGUGCAGGAUGAAGGCCUUCGGGUUGUAAACUGCUUUUGUACGGAACGAAACGGUGAGCUCUAAUAAAGCUUGCUAAUGACGGUACCGUAAGAAUAAGCACCGGCUAACUACGUG